CCUAGGGUGGCUGCAGUGGGGAAUAUUGGACAAUGGGCGAAAGCCUGAUCCAGCCAUGCCGCGUGUGUGAAGAAGGCCUUCGGGUUGUAAAGCACUUUCAGUGGGGAAGAAAGCCUUGGGGCUAAUACCCUCGAGGAAGGACAUCACCCACAGAAGAAGCACCGGCUAACUCCGUGCCAGCAGCCGCGGUAAUACGGAGGGUGCGAGCGUUAAUCGGAAUUACUGGGCGUAAAGCGCGCGUAGGCGGUCUGAUAAGCCGGUUGUGAAAGCCCCGGGCUCAACCUGGGAACGGCAUCCGGAACUGUCAGGCUAGAGUGCAGGAGAGGAAGGUAGAAUUGCCGGUGUAGCGGUGAAAUGCGUAGAGAUCGGGAGGAAUACCAGUGGCGAAGGCGGCCUUCUGGACUGACACUGACGCUGAGGUGCGAAAGCGUGGGUAGCAAACAGGAUUAGAUACCCCGGUAGUC
rnacentral:rRNA from 1 species